rnacentral:rRNA from 1 species
AACGAACGCUGGCGGCAUGCCUAACACAUGCAAGUCGAACGAGACCUUCGGGUCUAGUGGCGCACGGGUGCGUAACGCGUGGGAACCUGCCCUUAGGUUCGGAAUAACUCCCCGAAAGGGGUGCUGAUACCGGAUAACGUCUUCGGACCAAAGAUUUAUCGCCUUUGGAUGGGCCCGCGUUGGAUUAGCUAGUUGGUAGGGUAAAAGCCUACCAAGGCGACGAUCCAUAGCUGGUCUGAGAGGAUGAUCAGCCACACUGGGACUGAGACACGGCCCAGACUCCUACGGGAGGCAGCAGUGGGGAAUAUUGGACAAUGGGCGAAAGCCUGAUCCAGCAAUGCCGCGUGAGUGAUGAAGGCCUUAGGGUUGUAAAGCUCUUUUACCCGGGAUGAUAAUGACAGUACCGGGAGAAUAAGCUCCGGCUAACUCCGUG